AGUGACCGGCCGGACAUCGAUAUGCCCGGCCCGCAAGUGGAGGCUCCGCGCUCCCACCUGAUCGGCCCCCCGGGUCGGCAGGUCAUUGGUCAGGCUGCGCCCCGCGAUGAGCCGCGGUGGUGCUCCCGGUCUGUGGAGCCCCGCCUGCGAGCCGUUCGGGGCGUUUUUU
rnacentral:ncRNA from 1 species